GGGAUUCCCAGGGUUGGGAGACCAAGGGAGCAGGUGUUGGAGUGGGCAGGGACAGGUCUGUGCCACCUAAGCCGGCCUUGCUUUGGAGGGCACCAGUUUUAAGGCUCUGCUGGCCCACAUGGGGAUGAGUUUGUUGUUCUUGGCCUCUCCUAAUCUUUUCAGUCUAGACCAGGAUUCUCCAGACCAGUUCUGGGCCUCCCCUUCAACCGCCUCCAUCCUCCCACAGUCCUGUCUUGGUGGUGGCCUUAGGCCCAAGUAAUCUGCACUCUCUCAGGCCUUGCCAGUCCUCCUGGGGCUCUCCCUCUGGCUGGGAGCCCAGGCUGUCUGCAGACCCUGCCUCCCUGCAGCCCUUCCCACCCCUUUCUUCCAAGUUGGACCAUCAGCUAUUUUCAACUUUCUGUCCUAAACAAUUGUGGAAUUUUAUAACCCAAUUCAUGGGUUAAAACACCCUUGAAACUCCACUGGGAGCCUCAAAGCACUCUCUGUCCUUCAUUUCCUCUUUGUGAGGUUGGGGGCAAGCUUCCCCAAGCUUUGCACCUCAGGUUCCUAAAUGCAAAAUGGAGACACCAAUCUAUUAGACGACUGGAGGCCAGUGUUUGCCCAGUGCCCAGUUCAGGGCCUGAGAGUUAGCAGGGGCCCCUGAUGGAUGUUAAUCCCCUCUCCUUCUUCCACUUUCCCCUUUACUCUUCUAAAUAGUUUAAGCUAGGAAAGGGCAAGCUGACCCCACUGCCCCAGGGACAAAGGAAUGAUGGCCUCAGUUCAAGAGCAAAGUACAGGAGUUUUUGAUUAACUCAGAAACACCAUGGACUUCCAGCAGCC
rnacentral:lncRNA from 1 species